GCCGGGGUGGCGGAAUAGGCAGACGCAUCGGACUUAAAAUCCGGUGGGUAUCACAUACCCGUGCCGGUUCGAGCCCGGCUCCCGGCACCA
rnacentral:tRNA from 1 species